UUGGAGGGCAAGUCUGGUGCCAGCAGCCGCGGUAAUUCCAGCUCCAAUAGCGUAUAUUAAAGUUGUUGCAGUUAAAAAGCUCGUAGUUGAAUUUCGGGGUCAGUAGGUUGGUCAUGCCACUGGUAUGUACUGGUCUCACUGAUUCCUCCUUCCUGAUGAGCCGUAAUGCCAUUAAUUUGGUGUUGCGAGGAAUCUGGACUGUUACUUUGAAAAAAUUAGAGUGUUUAAAGCAAGCUAACGCUUGAAUACAUUAGCAUGGAAUAAUGAAAUAGGACGUUCGAUCCUAUUUUGUUGGUUUCUAGGAUUGACGUAAUGAUUAAUAGGGAUAGUUGGGGGCAUUAGUAUUCAAUUGUCAGAGGUGAAAUUCUUGGAUUUAUUGAAGACUAACUACUGCGAAAGCAUUUGCCAAGGAUGUUUUCAUUAAUCAAGAACGAAAGUUAGGGGAUCGAAGACGAUCAGAUACCGUCGUAGUCUUAACCAUAAACUAUGCCGACUAGGGGUCGGAUGAUGUUAAUUUUUUAAUGACUCAUUCGGCGCCUUACGGGAAACCAAAGUGUUUGGGUUC
rnacentral:rRNA from 1 species